rnacentral:rRNA from 1 species
AUACGUAGGGGGCGAGCGUUGUCCGGAAUGAUUGGGCGUAAAGGGCGCGUAGGCGGCCCGGUAAGUCUGGAGUGAAAGUCCUGUUUUUAAGAUGGGAAUUGCUUUGGAUACUGUCGGGCUUGAGUGCGGAAGAGGUAAGUGGAAUUCCCAGUGUAGCGGUGAAAUGCGUAGAGAUUGGGAGGAACACCAGUGGCGAAGGCGGGUAACUGGACUGCAACUGACGCUGAGGCGCGAAAGUGUGGGGAGCAAACAGGAUUAGAUACCCUGGUAGUCCACACUGUAAACGAUGGAUACUAGGUGUGGGGGGACUUACCCCCUCCGUGCCGCAGUUAACACAAUAAGUAUCCCACCUGGGGAGUACGAUCGCAAGAUUGAAACUCAAAGGAAUUGACGGGG